CAGCAGCCGCGGUAAUACGGAGGAUCCAAGCGUUAUCCGGAAUCAUUGGGUUUAAAGGGUCCGUAGGCGGUCUUGUAAGUCAGUGGUGAAAGCCCAUCGCUCAACGGUGGAACGGCCAUUGAUACUGCAGGACUUGAAUUAUUGGGAAGUAACUAGAAUAUGUAGUGUAGCGGUGAAAUGCUUAGAGAUUACAUGGAAUACCAAUUGCGAAGGCAGGUUACUACCAAUUGAUUGACGCUGAUGGACGAAAGCGUGGGUAGCGAACAGGAUUAGAUACCCCUGUAGUCCCUGUCUCUUAUAU
rnacentral:rRNA from 1 species